rnacentral:other from 1 species
GUGGCGCUGCUGGGUGCGUCAGGUUUCGAGAUCCCUGGGGCCAAUACCGAACCUCUAGGGAGCUGUCCCUGCCGGGGCCGUGGUCCUGGUAUAUGGCGCCCACCUGCUUGGCAGGCCACAGAGGAUCCUAUGCUACCAACGGCCUAUGCGGCGCCACC